rnacentral:rRNA from 1 species
UACGAAGGGGGGCUAGCGUUGUUCGGAAUUACUGGGCGUAAAAGGGGCGCGCAGGCGGCUCUUCAAGUCAGAUGUGAAAGCCCCGGGCUCAACCUGGGAACUGCAUUUGAGACUGGAGAGCUUGAGUUCGGGAGAGGAUGGUGGAAUUCCCAGUGUAGAGGUGAAAUUCGUAGAUAUUGGGAAGAACACCGGUGGCGAAGGCGGCCAUCUGGACCGAUACUGACGCUGAGGCGCGAAAAGCGUGGGGGAGCAAAACAGG